rnacentral:rRNA from 1 species
AUUGAACGCUGGCGGCAGGCUUAACACAUGCAAGUCGAGCGGAGUGGCGAACGGGUGAGUAAUGUAUCGGAACGUGCCCAGUAGCGGGGGAUAACUACGCGAAAGCGUAGCUAAUACCGCAUACUAUUGGAGCGGCAGAUAUCGGAUUAGCUUGUUGGUGGGGUAACGGCUCACCAAGGCCACGAUCCGUAGCUGGUGUGAGAGGACGACCAGCCGCACUGGGACUGAGACACGGCCCAGACUCCUACGGGAGGCAGCAGUGGGGAAUUUUGUACAAUGGGGGAAACCCUGAUCCAGCCAUCCCGCGAGUGCGAUGAAGGCCUUCGGGUUGUAAAGCACUUUUGGCGGGAAAGCGGUACCUGCAGAAUAAGCACCGGCUAACUACGUGCCAGCAGCCGCGGUAAUUC